CGAACGAUGAAGGGUGCUUGCACCUGGAUUAGUGGCGAACGGGUGAGUAACACGUGAGUAACCUGCCCUUCACUCUGGGAUAAGCCUUGGAAACGAGGUCUAAUACUGGAUAUGACCUGGCCCUGCAUGGGGUUGGGUGGAAAGUUUUUCGGUGAGGGAUGGACUCGCGGCCUAUCAGCUUGUUGGUGAGGUAGUGGCUCACCAAGGCGACGACGGGUAGCCGGCCUGAGAGGGUGACCGGCCACACUGGGACUGAGACACGGCCCAGACUCCUACGGGAGGCAGCAGUGGGGAAUAUUGCACAAUGGGCGCAAGCCUGAUGCAGCGACGCCGCGUGAGGGAUGAAGGCCUUCGGGUUGUAAACCUCUUUCGGCAGGGAAGAAGCGAGAGUGACGGUACCUGCAGAAGAAGCACCGGCUAACUACGUGCCAGCAGCCGCGGUAAUACGUAGGGUGCGAGCGUUGUCCGGAAUUAUUGGGCGUAAAGAGCUUGUAGGCGGUUUGUCGCGUCUGCCGUGAAAACU
rnacentral:rRNA from 1 species